UAUACAACAUCCAUAAAAGCUAUUACAUAUUUCACAAAAGAAUCCUUCUUUUUCACUUCAUCUUCCUGUACAUAUCACUAUGUUUAAAUAAAUUUAAUACUAUAAAAGAUUAGGAAAUUCAACAAAGUUCAAAAAAGGAUAAAAAAAUAUGUUAUAUAUUAUAUUAUUUAUGUCAUGUUUUAUAUAUAUACAGGGUGAUCCAUUUGAAGAUUUGUAUUUAAUUAUUUCCUAAACUAUAGGUUGCUUAUGAAACUGUUCUAAAUGGAACUGUUUUUUUUUCUAGAUAAGCUUGCAAUCCAUUCAAAGACGAAUUCAUUGACUUAUAAAACUGUGGUCUUUCUAACUUUACCUAUUUGGUAACGAAACAUUCAUUAUUGUGAGUUUGCAUGAUGUUUACGCACAACUCGAGGAAAUAUUCGGACUAGAUCAAUUUUAGGGACAUUUAACGAAGGUAAAUUUUGAGCGGCAUUAAAUGACCUUGACGACCUUGAAAGACCAAAGUAUUAUAGGUCAAUGAAUUCGCAUUAGAAUGGACUACAAGCUUAUCUAGAAAAAACGUAAUAUUUCACUUAAAAAAGUCAAGGUCACCUUAAAAUCUCGGAGCACAUCCACCUAGAGAGAAUUUCUGACUAUCAUAAGAUAUUCUCCUCGAAACAGAGUACGCAUCUUUUCUGAAAGUAUAUUUUGGUGGAUUUUGGCAUGGGAGCAUCCACAAAAUUGGAUGACCCUUACCACAAACCUGAGACAGUAACACAAAAAAUACCUAGAAAUUGGUCUACCAGUACUGCGAUGACAAACAUGCCAAACAACGCUGAUUCCAACACCAAUAUAACGCAGUGCAAGCUGUAGAAAAAAUUGUCAUUAAAAUCAACUUCUUUUUAUUAACAACCUAUUUCUAUAUUUACAUUAGAUAAUGUUUUUAAACUUAUUGAAAAUUAAUUAAAUGAUUUUUAAAUAAUAUUCGUAUAAAACAUACAUGCGCGUUUGUUUGACGGCCAUAUCAUUGCUACAAUGAGAACAUUCUAUAACCCAUGACGUUAUCACCAAGCCUAGUGCAUAAAUGGCCAAUAUUCCAACAUAGACCAGAAAUUGGAUAAAGUAUUUUUGAUUUCUUUCUCCCACACAGUUGUUUAUCCUUUGUGCAAUAUUAUUAAUAAUCCAAUGUUACAUAUAUAUAUUGAAAAUCAUAUAUACUUAACAUAUGUAAUAUAGAAUACAUUUCAAGAAACAGAACGACUGAGUUCUUAAGUAAACAAUAUAUGUAAUUUCUGACAUAUAUUUUAAAAUAUUUAAACCAUACAAAAAUGAUCUUAUGUAUUUGUUUAUGAAUUGUGAAAUUAAUCACAUAUAUUCAAGUGUUCUAUUCCUUCAGUAAUACCCAUUGCAUUAUGAGUAAACCAAUUAUUAAUAUGUAAAACUUAUAGAAAUACUAAGCAUUCAAUGGAUAAUAAAUAUUAAAAUUCAAAAAUGA